UCAGCGUGAGCAGCAUGCGCUUCCUCCAGGAAGGGUCAAACCAGCUGCCCAGACGCAUGUCGUUGCUGAUGAAGAUGGAGUGCACCUCGAUGCGGCUGUCCCGCUUCUGCAACAGAUGGCUUCUCUGAAGAUGCCACGAGAGCAGGAACACUGCAUUAUUCUUCACCAACAUGUUCUCAGAAACCAGGAUUGUUCCUGGCGCUUGGUGCCUCUGUCAGAGCCGCAUCUCCGGGUUGCGAGGCAGCCUCCGCGCCCUGCAAGGCCCCGUCUCCGUGUACCAUUUCUAUCUUCUCCCACACAAGCUGGCCGAGACUUCCUUCUCCAAGACACAAGUCACAAGUAGGUGAAGAGAGCAGAGAACCUAAAAGGCCUCAUCUGGGUCACGGCCGCCAGAUCUGCCAUGUCGGACAGAGGGCCCCCCCGCCUCAGCAGCCUCAGGGGAAGGGGCCAGGCUUGGGCCCGGGCAGCUGGGGUGCUCACCUCUCCUUGGGCAGGCGGAAGCGAGGCUGCCGGUGGCAGCGCUUGCAGAGGUUGAAGAGCCUGCGGACAAUCCGAUGAGGAAUGGAGGUAUUCUGAAGCUGCAUGGCUCACAUAAGGUCACAAAGCUGGUCAGUAACAGAGUGUCUCAGUCUUUGGGGGCUGCUCUCAGAAAAUACCACAGACCGAGUGGCUUAUAAACAACAGAAGUUUAUUGCUCACGGUUCAAGAAGCUGGAAGUCCAAGAUCAGAAUGCCACCACGGUCAGGUUCUGGGAAAGGCCCUCUCUGGGUCGCGUGUGGCUCACUUCUCACUGUGUCUUCACAUGGCCAAAGAACGCCUUUCCUGCAGUUCUUCAAGGAGUCGGCCCUGAUACCCCUGACCUUCUGUCCUGGCUCCAGAUACCUCUGCCCUGCAGCAGGCACACACGUUGCAGUUUUCCAUCCUUUAAUGAGAACGUGGGGUGAAAGUCUGGGUCCUCCACACACCAAACGCUCCACAGGGGGAAUUACAACCUGUGGGGAAGGCAGGUGCAUAUGCAACGGGCCGAGAUGCAUCCAAGUGGAGCGGAAGCUAUGUGUCAGUGAGUGCUGAGGAAAACACAGCUCUAACCAAAGGG